UACGUAGGGGGCAAGCGUUGGUCCGGAAUCAUUGGGCGUAAAGCGCGUGUAGGCGGCCCGAUAAGUCCGCUGUGAAAGUCCAGGGCUCAACCCUGGAAUGCCGGUGGAUACUGUCGGGCUCGAGUCCGGAAGAGGCGAGUGGAAUUCCUGGUGUAGCGGUGAAAUGCGCAGAUAUCAGGAGGAACACCAAUGGCGAAGGCAGCUCGCUGGGCCACUACUGACGCUGAGAAGCGAAGGCAUGGGGAGCGAACAGG
rnacentral:rRNA from 1 species